UAACAGAAAACAAGCAUGUAGGCUUGGAGUCAGAGAUAUCAAUACUUCUUAGUUGGUGGUAUCAUUUGGGAUGAAUUAGGAAAUGAUGCCCUGCUGGAGGAAAUAUGUCACUGGGGUAUGCUUUCAUAGUUUACAUAAGCACACUGUUUCCCGUUUCCACCCUCUGGUUCAUCCUGCAGGUUGAGAAUGUGAGAUCUAAGCAUCAUGAUAUGUAGCAGCCAUGUUUGACACCUGUUGCCAUGCCACUUUCACUGUGAUCCUGUAUCCCUCUGGAACCAAGAGUCAAACUCUUUCAUGAGUUGAUAUAAACAUUAUGUUUUAUCACAAUGGAAAAGGCACAAAUAAACAUUCAUGAAGUUUUAUACCUGAAUUAGUUAUUUCAUGUCAUUGAAGAGGAAACCUAAAAGGGUUACUUUAGCAUUUAAAUUUGUAGGGCUUUGUCCAUAUGAGUUUGCAAGUGCAAACAAAAUAAAGACAGGCAUUAUACUGUUUGAACAGAUAGUUGACACUGUGAAAUUAUUUUCUCCAGAAUACUCUUAUAUAACUAGAAUGUGUUGACUAAAGAUCUUAUGAAAUCCUUUAUAGCCAGACUUUCUUCUAUAUGAGUUUUUUUCAGGUCCUCAAAGACUAUUUGUGAUAUGAACAGGCUAUAACAGAAUGACUGAACACUAAAAGUUUUACUCUUGUAUAAAGAACACCACAAAGUACAAAACCUUACCAUACUGACUACAUUAAUAUUUGCUCUGCAGUAUGAUUUUUUUCUCAGAAUUUCAAAGACUACAAUGAUGUGCAAAGGCUUUAACACAUCACUUUCAUAGAGGUUCUCUCCAAUAUAUGUUCUUUUAUGCAUUAAAUUAUGUGACAUGAAAGGCUUGACACCACAAUACUUUCAUAGAGUUUCUCUCCAAUGUGUUCUUUUAUUAGUUGAAAAAAUACUGUGACAUGAAAGGCUUUACCACAAGUAUGAAUCGACUACAUUCAUAGGGUUUCUUUCUCUCCUGUAUGUGUUCUUUUAUGUGUUUGGAGACUACAGUCCUGUGAAAAGAAUCUACCAUAUUAAUUACAUUCAUAGUGCUUCUCUCCAGUAUGGGUUAUUUUAUACAUUAGAAGACUUAUAUGCAUAGGCCUUAACGCAUUGAUUACAUUCAUAGGGUUUCCCUCCAGUAUCAGUUAUUUUCUGACUUAGAAGAUGAGUAUGAUAUGCAACUGCUUUCACACAUUGAUUGCAAUUAUAAGGCUUCCCUCCAGUAUGGAGUCUUUCAGGCCUUUGAGGAUGACCAUGAUAUGCAUAGGCUUUAACACUUUGAGAAUAUUCAGAAGGUUUCUCUCCAGUAUGACUUCUUUCAUAAAUGACACAGUUAAAAAUUGUAACACAUCCAUUACACUGUUGAAUAUAUCUGUAUGAAUUAAUUUUAUAAUUUGGUCUAAUUGUAAAGAGAAAUCAGGUCUUAAGGCUUUAUCGCUGUUUUACACUCAUGUUGCUCCUGCUUCUAAGGGUGGUUUUGGAUCUUUGAAAAUACCUGCAAAGGCUCACAUUUAUAGCAUCUUUUUUUCUAUAUGAGAUUUAUCACAUAUUUGAAGAUAACUAGAAAAACUCAUAAGUUUUCCUAUAGUGUGAGUCAUACUACAUUUGUUAAACGAACAGGACAAACAGAAGUAUAUAUACAUUCCUAGCACACAUAGGGAUUUUAUGAAGUGUGAGUUUGUUGAGAUAUUUCCAAUGAAAGCUGGAAAAGUAAUUACUUGUGAAUUUGCAUCACAUUCAACAAAUCUAUUCAAAUUGGGUGCUGCUACAUAUCUUCUAAUUGUUCUUAGAGAGAGAGAGGGAUAUUGACAUAUGAUAUACCUAAUAAAGGAAGAAUAACAAAUAAGAGGUGUCCACAUUGCAUUGGUAGCAUUUAACUUUCUGUUCCUUACAGACAUAUGAUGUAGAGAAUAAGGUUUCUCCACAACAGUCGCCCUUGGCUCUUGAAUGUAACUACCCCUCCUCUCACUAAACUUAGCAAAAUCACAAGCAUAUGAAUAACACAAGCUUUACUAUGAACUAUUUGAUUAUUACAAGGUUUUGGACAUGUAUUUAUUACUUAUUCAAUGUGCAUACCUUAUGUAAUAUGAGUGCUAUGAAACUAAAU
ensembl:lncRNA